rnacentral:lncRNA from 1 species
AGGACAUGAUCAAGGUACUGUAUCAUCCACAUGGAAGCUUCUUACCAGAGCUUUUCACUCCUUGCAAUUACCUGAUGACUAUAUAAAACAAAAUUUCUUUUCUGUUGGUGUCUUCUCUCUCUUAGGUGGAGCCAGAAACCCAGCAUGUCUUGUCUCUCUCAAAUUCUUGCCAACUCCAUUGCUCAUGAGGACAUGGAACAGUCAUCUUUUAAACUAGACUCCCUCCUGUUUGGCUACAGAGAAAGAGAGAAACUAGGAAACCACUAUCAUCUCUGCCUCCUGUGAGAAAUGAAGCCAAGUUCCAACUCUCCAGUGCUCAUGGUGAACAAAAAGAAUUCCAUGGAGGUAAUUUCAGAUUUUGUGAAAAUAUAUGUUACAGAACUUGAAAAGGUAAAAAAAAAACAACUGUGUGAAGAAUUUAAUAAAGUUCUUUAAAUUA